rnacentral:tRNA from 1 species
GGGGAUGUGGCUCAGCUGGUAGAGUACCUGCUUAGCAUGUUCAAGGCCCUGAGUUCAAAUCUUAGUAUUAUCA